CCUACGGGUGGCAGCAGUGGGGAAUAUUGGACAAUGGGGGCAACCCUGAUCCAGCCAUGCCGCGUGUGUGAAGAUGGCCCUCGGGUUGUAAAGCACUUUCAGUGAGGAAGAACGCCUGGUGGUUAAUACCCAUCAGGAAAGACAUCACUCACAGAAGAAGCACCGGCUAACUCCGUGCCAGCAGCCGCGGUAAUACGGAGGGUGCGAGCGUUAAUCGGAAUUACUGGGCGUAAAGCGCGCGUAGGUGGCUUGAUAAGCCGGUUGUGAAAGCCCCGGGCUCAACCUGGGAACGGCAUCCGGAACUGUCAAGCUAGAGUGCAGGAGAGGAAGGUAGAAUUCCCGGUGUAGCGGUGAAAUGCGUAGAGAUCGGGAGGAAUACCAGUGGCGAAGGCGGCCUUCUGGACUGACACUGACACUGAGGUGCGAAAGCGUGGGUAGCAAACAGGAUUAGAUACCCUAGUAGUC
rnacentral:rRNA from 1 species